rnacentral:rRNA from 1 species
UACGGAGGAUCCAAGCGUUAUCCGGAUUUAUUGGGUUUAAAGGGUGCGUAGGCGGACCGAUAAGACAGUGGUGAAAGUUUGCGGCUCAACUGUAAAAUUGCCAUUGAAACUGUUGGUCUUGAGUGUAAAUGAGGUAGGCGGAAUGUGUUGUGUAGCGGUGAAAUGCUUAGAUAUAACACGGAACACCAAUUGCGAAGGCAGCUUACUGGGAUACAACUGACGCCGAGGCACGAAAGCGUGGGGAUCAAACAGG